CAGUCGCCGCGGUAAUACGAAGGGGGCUAGCGUUGUUCGGAAUUACUGGGCGUAAAGCGCACGCAGGCGGUCUGUCAAGUCAGAUGUGAAAUCCCCGGGCUUAACCUGGGAACUGCAUUUGAAACUGGCAGGCUAGAGUCUUGUAGAGGGGGGUAGAAUUCCAGGUGUAGCGGUGAAAUGCGUAGAGAUCUGGAGGAAUACCGGUGGCGAAGGCGGCCCCCUGGACAAAGACUGACGCUCAGGUGCGAAAGCGUGGGGAGCAAACAGGAUUAGAUACCCGGGUAGUCCCUGUCUCUUAUAC
rnacentral:rRNA from 1 species